rnacentral:rRNA from 1 species
AGGGUUCGAUUCUGGCUCAGGACGAACGCUGGCGGCGCGCCUAACACAUGCAAGUCGAACGGAGUUAUUUUGGUUGAAGUUUUCGGAUGGAUACCGAUUUAACUUAGUGGCGAACGGGUGAGUAACGCGUGAGUAACCUGCCCUGGAGUGGGGGACAACAGUCGGAAACGACUGCUAAUACCGCAUAAGCCCACGGCCUGGCAUCGGGCUGAGGGAAAAGGAUUUAUUCGCUUCAGGAUGGACUCGCGUCCAAUUAGCUAGUUGGUGAGGUAACGGCCCACCAAGGCGACGAUUGGUAGCCGGACUGAGAGGUUGAACGGCCACAUUGGGGCUGAGACACGGCCCAG